rnacentral:tRNA from 1 species
GCCGGGAUGCUGGAAUGGUAGACAGGCACGCUUGAGGUGCGUGUGCCAGAAAUGGUGUGGAGGUUCGACUCCUCUUCUCGGCA